CACGUAGGCGGCAACUUAAGUCAGAUGUGAAAGACCAGGGCUCAACCCUGGGGGUGCAUAUGAUACUGGGUAGCUAGAGUACAGGAGAGGUAAGUGGAAUUCCUAGUGUAGCGGUGAAAUGCGUAGAUAUUAGGAGGAACACCAGUGGCGAAGGCGGCUUACUGGACUGAAACUGACGCUGAGGUGCGAAAGCCAGGGGAGCGAACG
rnacentral:rRNA from 1 species